UUUCACACGGAAGAUUACAGCCAUGGCUUUCACCAAGCUGAAAAACAAGCUUUAAUGUGAUGAUCCACACAAGACCAAACCUGAUGAGAAAAUGUAGGGUGUUGCUAUGGCAAUUCCAUUCGUUGGAACUUUUCUCUGUUGGCUUCACUCUGUCAUUACAUUCUAAAAAGAAUCGUAUGAAAAGGUGUGGUGGCUGUGAAGACAAACGUGAAGCCGAGAAGAUGGAGCUUUCUCAUCUGUCCUUCCCCAAAAGAGAGAAUACCGUCACAUUAGUUACAAAGGUGGAGAAGACAUAAUCUUGAGAUUCCAGAAGCUUAUCUCGUGGAGGAGGUAACACAUAACCAAAUACCUAUGGACACAGUAGAUGGUAAAUGAGCUCUGAGUGACAGCAUAGUCUUAAAAAAGGAAUCUCUCAUCUGGCUUCAUACAAAGUGUGGAAUCACUACUGAGGUUCUGAAAAACGCAUGAUUUUAACAAUACAUUUCUUUCAGAGUUGUUCACUUUUCAAAAUUUAUUUAUCCAUUAUCCAACUGUAGUAGAAGAAAGCAUCAUCAGAAAGUGUUCCUGGUACUGAUCUGAUUUUCCAAGGAAUCUAUGACUCAAAACUAGAUCAGGAUGCCUGCUUUCAAGUUCAUCAGAUUUCUGGUUGCUCAGUCAUCAAGGUCCUGUUAAGGUGUCAGGGACGUCACUUACCACUUAUGAAUGCAAACCAACCGAUUGUGUUCCUUAUCUGCUGAGUAGUACUUACAAGAGGGGUAGAUUUUGAGACUGAUUUUCCUGAGAAAGUUGAUAUUUUCAAAGAAAUUGAAUAAAUUCCAUUCAUCUACAGUGAAAA